UACGAAGGGGGCUAGCGUUGCUCGGAAUCACUGGGCGUAAAGCGCACGUAGGCGGCUUUCUAAGUCAGGGGUGAAAUCCUGGAGCUCAACUCCAGAACUGCCUUUGAUACUGGAGAGCUCGAGUCCGGAAGAGGUGAGUGGAACUGCGAGUGUAGAGGUGAAAUUCGUAGAUAUUCGCAAGAACACCAGUGGCGAAGGCGGCUUACUGGUCCGGUACUGACGCUGAGGUGCGAAAGCGUGGGGAGCAAACAGG
rnacentral:rRNA from 1 species